AUUGAACGCUGGCGGCGUGCUUUACACAUGCAAGUCGAGCGAGGAUAUAUUGUGCUUGCAUAAUAUAUUCUAGCGGCGAACGGGUGAGUAAUACAUCGGAAUCUGUCUAAUAGUGGGGGAUAACUAAUCGAAAGAUUAGCUAAUACCGCAUAAUCUCUGAGGAGGAAAGCUGGGGACCGUAAGGCCGGGCGCUAGUAGAGGAGCUGAUGGACGAUUAGCUAGUUGGUGGGGUAACUGCUUACCAAGGCGAUGGUCGAUAGCUGUACUGAGAGGAAGAUCAGCCACACUGGGACUGAGACACGGCCCAGACUCCUACGGGAGGCAGCAGUGGGGAAUUUUGGACAAUGGGGGCAACCCUGAUCCAGCAACGCCGCGUGAAUGAAGAAGGCCUUCGGGUUGUAAAGUUCUUUUAUCUUAGAGCAAGGUAUAGUAUUGAAUAGGUAUUAUGCUUGAGAGUAUAAGGUGAAUAAGCACCGGCUAACUACGUGCCAGCCGCCGCCGUAA
rnacentral:rRNA from 1 species